GUUAGGGUUAGGGUUAGGGUUUAGGGUUAGGGGUUAGGGUUAAGGUUAGGGUUAGGGUUAGGGGCCAGGGUAGGCGCUAACCUGUAUGCACUGUCCAUCUAAUGUCGCUCACUCCACUGGGUUUCACCCCCAUGUCAGCCGGUCCAUUCCCACCAUUCUUUUUCUCUUUUGUUUUUUUCUCCAGUUCCCUCGGACUCAGUGAGUAUAUUUUCGGGGUCAUGUCGUGUGAGCAUGCCGUGUGUCAUUUUUCUUGUGCCUCCCGGUGGGAUUGAGUCUUUGUUGAGCCUGUCGGGCUGUAGUGGAGUGACCCGGAUUCCCCUUCGUGCGUCGGAACUGGCCCGUUCGCGGUCCCUGAUAGGGAUAGGAUGAUUUUCCUGUCUGGUACAGGAGUUUGGGCGGACGCUGGAGCGUGUCGUACUCGCGGGGAGGCCGGGCAGUUAAGAGAAAUGUCCGGAAGGCUGCCCGCGUCCUCGUGGUCGACGGAGGACACAUCGCUCUGAGGGUCAGUCAUCGUGGACCUCGUUUGUUUUCUCUGCGGGGCGGAUGUUUCAGACUCCUGUUCGGCCUCUGAGCUUUCGAACAGAGCCUCGAGGUUCAGCGGAGCUACCGUCAUCUCCGCGUACUCUUUGGCCUCGUCGACCGUCUGGCGCUUGAGUUUU
ensembl:lncRNA